rnacentral:rRNA from 1 species
ACUCUGGGUCACCUCCCACCCGUGUCUAUCGUACCUUGUUGCUUCGGCGGGCCCGCCGUUUCGACGGCCGCCGGGGAGGCCUUGCGCCCCCGGGCCCGCGCCCGCCGAAGACCCCAACAUGAACGCUGUUCUGAAAGUAUGCAGUCUGAGUUGAUUAUCGUAAUCAGUUAAAACUUUCAACAACGGAUCUCUUGGUUCCGGCAUCGAUGAAGAACGCAGCGAAAUGCGAUAAGUAAUGUGAAUUGCAGAAUUCAGUGAAUCAUCGAGUCUUUGAACGCACAUUGCGCCCCCUGGUAUUCCGGGGGGCAUGCCUGUCCGAGCGUCAUUGCUGCCCUCAAGCACGGCUUGUGUGUUGGGCCCCCGUCCCCCUCUCCCGGGGGACGGGCCCGAAAGGCAGCGGCGGCACCGCGUCCGGUCCUCGAGCGUAUGGGGCUUUGUCACCUGCUCUGUAGGCCCGGCCGGCGCCAGCCGACACCCAACUUUAUUUUUCUAAGGUUGACCUCGGAUCAGGUAGGGAUACCCGCUGAACUUAAGCAUAUCAAUAAGCAGAGGAA